AGGUGUGUGUGUGGGGAAAAGAAAGAAAAAAAAACUUACUAUGAGAGAUAAAGGGGAAAAUCGCUAUUCAUUGCACCUAAAGAUAUUAGUAUUCUGUCUAAUUCAAAUUCACUAUAAUUCAUACUUUCAUUACGAAACUAGUCAUGGAUGGAAAAAAAAUGCAUGUUCUAGAUUCAAUACUACCCCCCCUUGCCUUCUCACCCCUUCAUUCCCUCACUUUGUCACCUUGCUAAUUCUAUACAUGUGUUGUCUUCACCUAAAUAAGCUAGAUAGAAAGCUUGUUGAGGUAAUGAUGGAUCUUGGCAGUUUAAGUGUGAAGUGUUAUACAUACUUAUACCACUGUAUAAAUUAAUGCAGUAUCCUGGCAAAAAAAAA